CUUGGCGGGAGCGGGUGGGUGACGCGGCAAAUAUUUGCAUUAUGUAUUUUGUAUGAAUACUUUUCACGCCCACGUGUGUUAUUUCAUGUCGUGCUGUGAAAGCGGCCGUUGAAGGAACUGAAGAGGAAGAACACCGUGGCAUGGACGGGUCUCCUGGAGGAGACAACACUGAGGCUCCUGUGCAGUCAACGUGCUCCAGCCAGUAUGAGGACGCUGGGACCGGUUCAUUCUUCCCAAGCUACGGCUGGAAACAGUGGAGUAGCUCCAGACACAAGGGACCCCAGCCUACAGCAGGCUGAGCAUGCAUCACCUGGGGCAGACAGGGACUCUUCUGUAAAUGGUGUAGGUCUUUGAAGUGAGGGGAGGGGUACUCAUCAUACCUCAGACCUCACCCAUUACUUUGUGAGCUGUCCAAACUCCCAUGCUGACCAUUUCAUGCUCACCACCUCAUGCUUCUCAGACAGUGCUGCCUGUACUUCCAAAGCUAGUGCUUUCGGGCAAGAGAAGAACAGGUUGCCUUGCUGACUGUAUGCAACCUGCCAUGGAUGUGUAUCCAGCCUUGUCCUAGAAGCUCCAGGGGUCCUCUCCCUAAUACGACAUCAGUCGUGUGAGGGGAAAAUGCUGAAAUCCUCUAGGAAAAACAGUGACCAGGAGUGGUCUGUGGCAAACCAAUUCAUUCAGUCAACAGGCUGCUCCUUGCUUGGGUUGAAAUUGCUCCAGGAAAAAAAAGAAAAAUACAAGUGACUGGGAGUGCACUAGAUGAAUUAUCCCACGUGAGAACGUUCCCUCACUGCCAUCAUCCUUCCUGGCUGCUCCUCACACCUGGGGCUAAAAAUGUGUUCUUAUUUUAUACUGCAUAUGCAAUAAACUCA